UACGGAGGGGGCUAGCGUUGUUCGGAAUUACUGGGCGUAAAGCGCACGUAGGCGGCUUUGUAAGUUAGAGGUGAAAGCCCGGGGCUCAACCCCGGAAUAGCCUUUAAGACUGCAUCGCUUGAACACGGGAGAGGUGAGUGGAAUUCCGAGUGUAGAGGUGAAAUUCGUAGAUAUUCGGAAGAACACCAGUGGCGAAGGCGGCUCACUGGACCGUUGUUGACGCUAAGGUGCGAAAGCGUGGGGAGCAAACAGG
rnacentral:rRNA from 1 species